UACGUAGGGCGCAAGCGUUAUCCGGAAUUAUUGGGCGUAAAGAGCUCGUAGGCGGUUUGUCGCGUCUGCUGUGAAAGACCGGGGCUCAACUCCGGUUCUGCAGUGGGUACGGGCAGACUAGAGUGCAGUAGGGGAGACUGGAAUUCCUGGUGUAGCGGUGAAAUGCGCAGAUAUCAGGAGGAACACCGAUGGCGAAGGCAGGUCUCUGAGCUGUAACUGACGCUGAGGAGCGAAAGCAUGGGGAGCGAACAGG
rnacentral:rRNA from 1 species